UUUUCAUUUUGAGUGGAAAAGAACAGUGAAGAUAAAGCGUUAAACCCGUGUUGUAUCUCAACCAGGGAAAGAAGGAUGUGUUCCUUAUUUACAUGGUGGCAACUGUAAGGAACUAGAACAGGGGUGUCAAACUCAUUUCGAUUCAGGGGCCCAAUGAAAUAACAUUUUACAUCAAGUGGGUCUGAGAUAUGCAAAAAUGUCAAGAUGAAGAAAAUUUUAUGGAUUUAUUUAACUAAAAUCGUUAUAUAUUAUAAUGCAAUUCAAUACUUUGAAAUGGACCAAAUUGGCCAACUUAGAUAUCUAUGACAUACAGUACAGAAGUCAGAGUCUUGCUAAAACUGGAAAACAAUAAUAAAUGAUUUCCACCGCUAGUUUCUAGAAAUUAUCGACACAUCAGUUUGUUGAAAUUUGUUCUACGGAUCACAUUUAAACCUUUGGCGGGUCGGAUAUGGCCCGCAUGUUUGACACCCAUGAACUAGACGAAUGUGUACACAGACCACUCUCGGUAAAUGUCAAAUAAAUAUUCUGUUCUAAUAUUAAACUGUACGCGGAAAGUAGUUUUUAAAUAUACAUAUAUACUCUAAUA